CGCGGUGCCAGGAGGGGCGCAGAGGAGAGGUCGCUCCUCUCCCGUGCAGCCACCGCAGGCAGGUGAAGCUGCAGCUUCCCACCUCCUGGAGCAGGUGCCUUUGCUCGCAGCCGAGCUGCUCGGAGCUGCUGUGCAGCAGCCGGGCUGGCAGCCCGUGGGUCCGUGCCGUGGGAGGCUGGCAAUGCAGCAGUGGGCUGGGUGCUGACGGAGCAGCCCCGGGAGCUGCCUGUCAUUGCCCUGUCACAACAGCCCGGUGACUGGGACUUGUUAAUGUGAUAGUUUCUCUCCCUGCCAGAACCUGGCCUGAAAGUCCAUGUGGAAAGACAAACUAACUGUGAACCAGACGCAGACAUCAGCGCCCGGGGCGCAGCGCGUACCAAGAUAGCCCACAGCCACCUGCCAGCUUGCCACUGACCUUUUAUCUGCAUAAAUAGUCGUGACCUUUGGGCUGCUCAAAUUAGUGCUAGCUGCUCACCCAGGCCAGUAUCACAGCCCCAUCGUGCACAGGCCUUCCACUACUUUGACUCUGUUGCCUUCGCUUGGUGAACCAACAGGCAGAGGCACCGUGCUCAUGGCUUCUGUAGGCUGCAAACACCUCGCUGGAGCCUUCGUCCACCACUGAAGGGCACAAAGACCAAGGGAGGGAUCCUGCCACCCGCAGCUGUGUUGUCACUUCUCUGUAGGGCACGGUGAGCCUUCAGCUGCACUCCUGCUUGGGGCAUUAAUUCAGCACAUCCUUCAGGAAGAGUCCUGAAAGAGUUUUAAAAUCAACAGAAAGAAAUCAUUACCAAAAUGGCUACUCUUUCAGUAAGCCUCAAAAUGAGUUAUUUUGGUUAACACAGAAGUAGUUCACUACGUCACAGAUCUUUCUUUCCAAUAAAGUCUACGUUUUAUUCAGUGGACUGUAAGUUGUGUAGGGUUUAAUGCACAUUAUUUUCUCAGCAGAUGAAAACUAGCAUAUUUAUUUAUUUAUGUAUGCAUUUGCACCGUUUUACAAACAUGUUCUUUCAGAUUGCUUAGGAGACCCUCUGGAUGCCUAGCUGAUGAUAUUGACUACGUCUGAAAGAUGAAGAGUCGGAUACUUAAAAGACAUAAAGCAGGAAAAAAAAAUACAAUUUUCUAGGUUCUUUAAGUUGAAGACUGCAUAAGCAUAUUCCAGAGAGACUUUACUCUGCCUAAAAUUUGCUUCAAAGCUCUUCUCUUCUGAUUUACUUUAACUGGAGCUAUUUUCUCUCUCUCUGUUCUAGUCACGGGAUAGUGGAUUCCAAAAGCAUUUUUCCACCUGAUGUCCAUUGUGUGCAUGAUGCUUUAAAAAUUCAAUUGACUCCUCUCAACAUUCUAGAGACUUGUUAAGUUGCACCAAGGCAAACUGUCAGGCACGGAAUGAGAAGGUGCUGUUUAUGGCCGCAGCCCUUGCUGCCUGCUUUUACCUAUGACAUCUUUGGACAGGAAUAGGAAACCCCACAGGGUUGGGAGGUCAACUUGUUUCACUUGGCUGGCGCCCCCGGACUAGCACGAGUCAUAGAAUGGCGAGGGUUGGAAGGGACCUUAAAGCUCAUGCAGUUCCAACCGCCUGCCGUGGACAGGGCUGCCACCCACCAGCUCAGGCUGCCCAGGGCUCCAUCCAACCUGGCCUUGACACCUCCAGGGAUGGGGCAUCCACAGCCAGAUGGAUGGAUGCCCACGUGCUCUGGGCAGCCCAAAGCUCAGAUGUACAAUUGCUUGCAGAAAGUGAAUUCCAGCCAUAGUUUUUAGCUCCUUCUUUUGUUUUAUCUUUUACAGCAGUUCCAAAAGUGCAUUCACUUGAAACUUCUAAAAGCAAUUUGGUUUGCUUUCACUUGUUCCUCAUUUCAGCUAUCUGGUCCUCCCUAUCUGUGGCUGUACCAGCAGCAAUGCUACCCUGAGCCUCUCACGGGUAAAUAAGAAGUCAACACGCAUGUUUGCAAAGUAUGUUUAACUUGCGUCUUUCAUCUGUGAUUAAUAUUAAAUCUAUUGAGCUACAUAAAUAAGUAAUUCACUUACAGACCUGUCAAACCAAUAGUAAUUUCUUCCCCUCUGAAGCUCUGAGCUAUCCGUUCUAAUUGUUUAAUUUCCUUUUGUGUACCUGGAGAUAAAAACAGCCUGCUAGGCCGCUUCCACUUGGAAAGAAGGGAGGGCUGCCCAGUCACUCUCCUCCUCUGCCUCUUUCCCACUGCGUACAAGGUCUGCAAAUGUCCUUAAAAGCCUUGAGUGAAGAGUAAAAGAGCCAUUUUGCACAUCAUUUCUGCGGUGGUAGCUUGUGCAUGGAAAGUGGACUCCUGCUCAGCCUUCUGGCUUGGAUCACAGCCCUGCAAAAUCAUCUCCACCAAGAGACUAUGGAUCUGUUUCUGUUCUCCUGCAAAUGAAAUUAGCAGAAUUAUAUAAACAUAAAACCAGGGGCAAAUGAGAGGAAACUCUUGUUUGCUCUUUUGUGUUGAUAUGGAGUUGUGCUCCUCGAGCACUAAUAAGGCAGUGCUCUCACGGAAGACUGAGAGCAUGUAUUCAGGCCCCUGGCCUCCCAGUGACUGUGCACAACACUCAGCUCCUUUAAGUUUGCAAGUAGUUUACAGGUUGCUUAUAGAGAAGAGUAUGAAGUUGGUUUGAGGGAAAAUAAUCCCCAGGUAGGGAAGUCCCUCCUAGCUAAAGAAAGCACUGAGCACAGGGAGUCAAGAGGAAACCUCAUCCCCUCCCCAGUUCAUCCAGGUGCCUAUAUCAAAGCAGCAGGGGAGGAUCUCCCAGCAGCAAGGGAUCCUUUCUGAAACACAGUUGUGUAGGACUUCUCUUUGGAAGCAAUGAUGAGAGAGCACUCCCUCGAAACCCACCCCAGCGCCAUUUCAGGCUGGUGGAGGUGGUGGUACUGGGCUACAGCUCUUAAUCUGUGGGAAUUUUCCUCCCUCCAGCAUUUGCUGCAUAUGUAAAGCCCUGCAUAAGCCAUUGUAGUCUCUGGGAUCUGGGGGUGGAAAGAGGAAUGGAAGAAAUCUUGAAGCAGAAUAUAUUUAGCUUCCUUCUCUUCCAGGAUGCUCCUUCACACCUCACUGUUCAGCGCAUCCAGCCCUGCACCGAGCAGGGGAAAUGCAGCAAAACCAGCAGAGCUUUCUGCAGCAAUGAAGGGGCUUUCAGUAAAGCAGCCUCAGUACUGAAAACAUGAAAGGGACACCACAGUUCUUUAUCAAAGCACAGUUUAACACAAUCCAUGUGAGGGAUGCUGCGUUAGUUCCUAGCACUAUUUAGCUAUACCGAAAGGAAAGGAAAAUAUUAUAGCUAUGCAGAAAUAAAAAAUGGGAUCAAGAUUAGUGGAAAAGGGCAGAAAUGACGUUUACUAAGCUGCCUUUUGCCUGUGAUGUUUGUUCUUUACUGUUUUUCACUUAACAAGACUGCAGAAGACAUUACUUGUCCUUAAAGAGUGCUACUGCAUGCAGAGAGGAACCAGACCGUGGUUAUCUGCUGUAACCGAAAAGCUGACAUUUUGAAGUGGUCAUUAUUCAUUGCAACUGCUCAGAUUGAGGCCAUUUCACAUGGAAACAAUUAAGAGGCAGAAUGCAUAUCAUAACAAAGGAAUGAGAAAGAAAGAUCAGGAAAUACAGGCAGAUUGGAUAAUUCUCUUAAAAUGGAUACCGUAUUUACUGCAAGUGAUUAUAACAAAUCUAAGACUUGUAUUACCACCAGAGAACAGACAUGACUGAAUUGCAGAUUUUCUCAUGCAACCUCAGAGGAAAAAAUUCAGUUUAUUGAUUAAUUCAUAAUUUAGGUCCAGAAUGGAAAAAAAAAAAAUCUCAUUUCAUUUGUGUGCAGGAUGGAAGGAGCCUGAAAAUAAUGAAUUACAAAAGUGGUCACAACUGGAAAUUACAGAUAAAUGAAAACCAAAUAGGAAUGCAAAACAAUAUGGUCCGCGUGUACUUCAGUAAAAGCAAGGGAAAAAUGCAAAUGUGCAUGGAAGGGCAUCCACAGAGAUUGCAGAUUCUUCUCGAGAUCGGCCUAAGUGCAACUGGAGAGAAGAGAAGAGGAUAAAGAACAAAAUCCACUUCUAAAGAGGCGUGUUGUCUUACAUGCAGGAGAUACGGGGGGAGGGUUUCUUUACACUAUCAGAGAAUGAGCGAGGUAAUUACUGGAAGGCAUAUAUUGCAAUAAAGAAUUAUGAAACACCAUUUAAUUCUUCUUUCUGGUUGAGUAAUUAAACAAACAGAAUAUCAGCACUAAACGGUGUGAGAUGGAUGAGACACCAUGAGCCUUAUACAACCAGGAGCCAGGAUGUCCAUGUCCCUCGGUCCUAAAACAGUCAUCUGUGUUUGCAAGGAAGUUCGGAAAUCACUUAGCGAAGAUAUCGAUACUGGAUCUCCUAGUGGCAUAAAUGCCACACCUUUCUGCUGUGUACACAUUCACACGCCGAAUUUCAUUAUGCCCCCCAAAAUGAGUGACUUAAACUUGGACAAUUAAGUGACAGCAAACUGCCCUCCAAUUCCUUCCCCCUGACCACUGUCUGGGAGACUAAUUUUUAUUGCCAUUGAAAUCAAUUUGAGUUGUAUGACUAACCUCACUGGAGCCAGGAUGCAAGCAGCUAAUGGUCUGCUGACAAUAGCUG
ensembl:lncRNA